rnacentral:rRNA from 1 species
AUGUCCGGCGGCGUGGGCCCGACGGCGGGGGGCAUCGCGCUGCCAUCGAUGGGGCAGCCGCCCCCGCCGCAACACCCGGAGCCCACCUCGCCCACGGCGCGCCCGCACCACCACUACUACCUCUUCUCGGGCAAGCAUCUCAACACGCUGGGCGCCAAGGCCGUGCUGGCCUUCUCGACCACUGUGCCGCUCUCAGAGAUCGCCUUCGCCGUUCUGCUCCUCCGUUACCUUCUCCUGGCCACGCUCGCCUUCCCGCAGCACCCUGGGAAGCCCAACCCGUCCUUGCCCGUCUUCCUCGGCCUCGCGCGCCUCCUCCUCGCCGCGCACACCGUGGGCGGGUUCCUCGUUGGUGCCGCGCUCCCGGCGCUCUACGUCCUCAACGGCCUCCGGUCCGAGGACACCACGGGGAUCGCCGCCGCAGCCCCGCACGUGUUCCUGCUCUCCGCGCAGGUCUUCAUUGAGGGGCUCACCGCCGCGGUCCCAUGGCGGUUCUCGCUCCCCGUCAGGGCCGCCGUACCGGUCAUGUACAGCGCGCGCAGGAUGUUCGUGGCAGGGGAGUGGCUCCGGCAGGAGAUGGAGGGGGUGACUGCGGCGACGGGAAGGGAAGGGGGCAGAGCGGCAGGAGGCUGGACGGGUCGAGGAGUUCCCCUGUGGCGGCGGCGGUGGCGUAGGAAACCUAGUGCGCAUCGGACGACGAUUCUGGCGGCUGCCAUUGGCUGA